AUUGAUGUAAUAACGUCAGACUGACAUUUUGACCGAUUAUACAUUUCAUUUCAAUAUUUCUCAAUUCUAAAUUUUUGUAGCAUAUAACAUGUAUUUGAUUUCAAACCCGUUAAAAUAUACAAAAUGUCUUAAACCGACACCACAGAGGCUUGUGGACUUUAAAGGAAACGAUGAAUAUGAUUGCUACUCGGAAAAUUACAUCAAAUGUUUUUGGGACCUAUGCGAUUACCACAAAAGCGUAGAAAGUUUCGUUACAAAGCCAAAAGAACAAGUAAUCAUACAACAACCAAGACGACAAAAUAAAAUAUAAUCAUACUAAAGCUAGCUUUUGCAAAGUAAAAAGUACACUGGACUUGGAAAAUAAAAAAAUAAUCAAUAAAUAUCAUUUAAUAAAUUCUACAUCAUGUAAA